AGAGCGAACGCUGGCGGCAGGCCUAACACAUGCAAGUCGAACGCCCAGCAAUGGGAGUGGCAGACGGGAUAGUAACACGUGGGAACGCGCCCUUCGGUUCGGAAUAACUCAGGGAAACUUGAGCUAAUACCGGAUACGCCCUUACGGGGAAAGAUUUAUUGCCGAAGGAACGGCCCGCGUCGGAUUAGCUAGUUGGUGAGGUAAUGGCUCACCAAGGCGACGAUCCGUAGCUGGUCUGAGAGGAUGACCAGCAUCACUGGGACUGAGACACGGCCCAGACUCCUACGGGAGGCAGCAGUGGGGAAUAUUGGACAAUGUGCGCAAGCCUGAUCCAGCCAUGCCGCGUGGAUGAUGAAGGCCCUAGGGUUGUAAAGUCCUUUUAACGGGGAAGAUAAUGACGGUACCGUAGAAUAAGCCCGGCUAACUUCGCGCCAGCAGCCGC
rnacentral:rRNA from 1 species